AUGUUCCCGUGCCGGCCGCUGGUGUCCCCACCGCUGCCGCGGGCCCUCGCCGCCGAGGCGCCCGUCUCUGUGCGGCGGUUGCGCGUGGUGCGGUGCAUGGCCAAGGAGCGGCGGGUGCGGAUGGUGGCGAAGAAGAUCCAGCGGGAGCUGGCGGACAUGCUGACCCGCGACCCCGUCAUGCAGCGCGCCGUCCUCCCCGAGGCCGCCCUCGGCGCCAACCGCUACCUCUCCUCCCCCACCACCAUCACCGACGUCGAGCUCUCCAACGACCUCCAGGUGUGCAAGGUGUGUGUGUUCGUGUUCGGGGACGAGAGGGGGAAGAAGGUGGCCAUGGCCGGGCUCAAGGACAAGACCAAGUACCUCCAGGUCAUGCCCGAGCUCUCCAACGACCUCCAGUUAAUUAGC
rnacentral:rRNA from 1 species